rnacentral:sRNA from 1 species
CUUCGGGCCGCAAACAACAAUACGUCGAUUUUUUCCGAAUUGAAAAUUGAAAAGGCCGCCUUAACUGCCAUCGCGGAAAAAUGUCUUUGCAACAAUUGAAUAGCUAGAGUGUAAGAAUCAAGUUUCCCUCUGCCAAGCAGAGACGCACAUCUCUUUCUUGUGGGUGGAGAGCGAGCGAGCCAGCAAGUUAUAGAGUGAGAGGGUGAGACGAAGAGGCCGAGCAGACGCCGCCACGCACCAAUACCAACGCAUUUUCGCUGUGGAAACGGAAUUAACCAAAAUGCUGUGAUCUCAGUGUUCCAGAGCAGAAGGCAGCCGCACGAGGAACCGACACUCCAGCCCAGCACAGCCCAGCCCAGCCCAGCCAGAGGAAGGGUACAGAGCCACGUGGAACGGGAUCUGGGAUCCCCUACCUUUAGAGAGAGAGAGAGAGAGAGAGAGAGAGGGAGAGAAGCAACUACUAGAACGAUAGCCGCAGCCAC